rnacentral:RNase_P_RNA from 1 species
GUAGCGGAUCGGUCUGUCGCUUCUUUAUUUUUAAAGAGGAGGAAAGUCCGGGCAACACAGAGCACCAUACUUCCUAACGGGAAGCUGUUUGUGAAGGCAGAGUAGUGUAACAGAAAAUAACCGCUCCGGUUUUUUGGCCGGAGUAAGGGUGAAAAGGUGAGGUAAGAGCUCACCGGUCCUGAUGGCAACAUCAGGAGCCGUACGCCUUAUGGGUUGCAAGAUCAUGUAUACCGGCGCAUGUAGGAUGGCUCGUCCGAUGCCGGGGGGUAGAUUGCUUGAGGUGGGUGGCGACACUCAUCCCAGAUAAAUGACAGACGCUUUGUGAAAACAAAGUACAGAACCCGGCUUACAGAUCCGCUACUUUU